rnacentral:tRNA from 1 species
ACUAUUUUGACAGAUUAAAUGUAUUAAAUUUAGAAUUUAAUUAUAUGUUUUUAAAAACAUAAAUAGUA